UUGACAUCCAGCGAACUUUCCAGAGAUGGAUUGGUGGCCUUCGGGAACGCUGAGACAGGUGCUGCAUGGCUGUCGUCAGCUCGUGUUGUGAAAUGUUGGGUUAAGUCCCGNAACGAGCGCAACCCUUAUCCUUUGUUGCCAGCGAUUCGGUCGGGAACUCAAAGGAGACUGCCGGUGAUAAACCGGAGGAAGGUGGGGAUGACGUCAAGUCAUCAUGGCCCUUACGAGUAGGGCUACACACGUGCUACAAUGGCGCAUACAAAGAGAAGCGACCUCGCGAGAGCAAGCGGACCUCAUAAAGUGCGUCGUAGUCCGGAUCGGAGUCUGCAACUCGACUCCGUGAAGUCGGAAUCGCUAGUAAUCGUGGAUCAGAAUGCCACGGUGAAUACGUUCCCGGGCCUUGUACACACCGCCCGUCACACCAUGGGAGUGGGUUGCAAAAGAAGUAGGUAGCUUAACCUUCGGGAGGGCGCUUACCACUUUGUGAUUCAUGACUGGGGUGAAGUCGUAACAAGGUAAGCGUAGCGAG
rnacentral:rRNA from 1 species